GACGAACGCUGGCGGCGUGCCUAAUACAUGCAAGUCGAGCGAAGUUUUUCUGGUGCUUGCACCGGAAAAACUUAGCGGCGAACGGGUGAGUAACACGUAAAGAACCUGCCUCAUAGACUGGGACAACUAUUGGAAACGAUAGCUAAUACCGGAUAAUAGCAUUAACUGCAUGGUUGAUGUUUAAAAGUUGGUUUUGCUAACACUAUGAGAUGGCUUUGCGGUACAUUAGCUAGUUGGUGGGGUAAAGGCCUACCAAGGCGACGAUGCAUAGCCGACCUGAGAGGGUGAUCGGCCACACUGGGACUGAGACACGGCCCAGACUCCUACGGGAGGCAGCAGUAGGGAAUCUUCCGCAAUGGGCGAAAGCCUGACGGAGCAACGCCGCGUGAGUGAAGAAGGAUUUCGGUUCGUAAAGCUCUGUUGUUAGGGAAGAAUGAUUGUGUAGUAACUAUACACAGUAGAGACGGUACCUAACCAGAAAGCCACGGCUAACUACGUG
rnacentral:rRNA from 1 species